AACACUUUCAAUUUCUGCCCAAUGUUGGUAACUUUUGAAGAGUUGUCAAGAGGCAGAAUUGUCUGAUUGCCGGGAACCUCUGUACAUUCUCAAUGAAAAUGUUAUAUUUCUCAAUAAGAAGAAUGUUUGAUAAAUGUCUAAGUACAGUGAUUAUUAUUUCAAUCUAUGGCCAUGGGAGAGGAGUCAUUGUAAUGUACAAUAAUUAUGUAUAAUCAUUAUAUAUGCAUGCAUAAUUUAUGAUUGCUGAUGAAUAAUCAUUAUUUGUUGUACUUUCUUUUGGAGGGAAUGAACAGAACAAUACUGGGUAAAGAAAAGUUUGGGGCUUUAAAAAAUUCAUCUAGUUACACUGCAACUUCAUACAUUGAUAUGCUAGCCUAAUGUUUGCCUCCCUGUGUUUUUCUUAGGACUGCAGUGUGUUCAAAAAAACACAUGCACAGGGCUGAAAAAAUCAUGAAGCAAUUUUGUGGUGUAAAUAGUUUUGCUGUGGUGAUUUCUAAUGUGGAGAGGCACUGAAAUAGGGGAGUAGGAUGACGCAGAAGAAACUGCUCGUUUCUUUCAGAAGCUCCAAAGUGUUUAGAGGCUUCUUGUAACAUUACCAGGAGCAGUAUGGAGCAAAAUUUACAUUUAAAGCUCUCCUUGUAUUCUGGGAUAAGCACUACAGUGAGAGGAGUGGGAUGAAGCAAACUUUGUGCUCCUUUACAUACUUAACCUGUGAAAACACUGAAUGAAAAACAGACUUUGCAGGCAAUAUGAAAAUAAUUAAAGCAAAAGCAGGUCUUCACCUUUAUUUUUGGCAUGUGUAUUGAGUCUCUAACUUCGUAACUGUUUGAACCUGAUCUUUGAUUCUUCCUAUGUUAAUGAGAAUCUUCCUCUAAAAUCAUAUUUUGAAAGCUGCCGUCUUUUUUUCCACUUAGAAGCAGGAACUUAAGCCAUUUUGCUGCCUGAAAGAUUUCCUAUUUAUGAAGCUCUGAUUGUCAGUGUCUGUGAGCAGACUUUUUCCCCAGGGUGGACAGGAAGACCACUCCUAUCUUGUCAGGAGAGGAUACUUUCCAAAACUGAUUUUGUGUUUUUGUGUGUAUGUGUGCCUUCUCUCUGAACUCUCUCAAUAGUCAUUAGAAAGCAGUUAAACAAAGUUCUCCAGCUGAGACCUAUCAGGUUUGUUGUUGAACAGAAUUCUUCUAGCACAGCAUUGCUUUUAGAGAGGAUCAAGUUCAGGGCAGAUACAGACACCAGCAACAUCUGGCAAACUGACAAAAUCCAUAGUCCUUAAGCUAAAAAUAUCCAUCUCGUUCUGAAUGUUUUGUACCUUCUUGUAAUCUUUCAUGGGAGAGUUUUUUCUAUCUAUUUUCUGGAACUUUUGAGAUCUAAUGUUUGCUGAGGCCUCUCAGAGACCAGUAGUACCAGUGAAAACCUCAGUAUAGUUAUCUGUUAAACUUGCCUUGACAGAGAAGCAAGCCAGUGUGCUGGGUUAUCCGCAGCCGAGCAAGGUGGCUCAUGAAGUGUUGUCUCAGGAGCUGUCCAACCAUCUCCACACAACGCUGAUGAGAGGAGUUUUUGCUUUCUUGUUGUAAGAGGAACAGUUAUCUUCUGGACAGCUAUUUGACAUCCUUGGCUAUCAUACUGAACUACCUGCACAUGACUUAAUCCAUCUCAUACUGUUUGGUCUGUAUUGAUCCAGUGGAAAAAGUAUUUCACUGUGGAGAAAGUGAGACAGAAAGAAGAAAACAUGUGAGUCAUAGAAAAUGACAUUUGGACACACAAAUGAGUAGUGUGGGCAUAUUAACUGCGGACAUGUGAAAUGAGUUUUGAAAUGACAGCAACAACAAAAAAAGAAAGAUGAGAGGGAUGCAGUGAAAAGUGGGAACUGAACAACGAUUAUGCUUGCUUUGGAAUGGGCUGCUGGCUAAUGGCAAAACUAAUGGUAACAGCUGAUACAUUUCUCAGUUUCAGAUGGACUUUGCAGUUGGGAUGAUGACAUAGGCCACUUGUCAACAGCAGUCUUUUCCUUGAUUUAUAACCUGGUCACCCAUC